rnacentral:ncRNA from 2 species
ACCACAUAACGCGGGGGCUCUCACGAUCACCGAGGGCUGAGAUGGCGACAGGCGGUCGCCGACCGCUCGAACCUGUCCGGGUAAUGCCGGCGUAGGGAGACCAUCAUGGGAACACG